rnacentral:misc_RNA from 1 species
GUGAAUCAUCAAAUUUUUGAACGCAAAUUGCACUCCCUGGUAUUCCGGGGAGUAUGCCUGUUUGAGGGUCGUCAUAAUAAAAAAUCGAGGCGUCGCUCUUUUUUUUAAGUGUGAACGGGUCGGAAUUUAGCCGUCUUUCAAAUGUUAAUUCUUGUUAAAGUUGCUUGAAAUUCAUCCACCCGGUACGAUUAAACUG